rnacentral:SRP_RNA from 1 species
GCCAGGUGUGGCAGCGUGCGCCUGUAGUCCCAGCUACUUGGGAGGCUGAGGCAGGAGAAUUGCUUGAACCCAGGAGGCGCGGGCUGCAGUGAGCCAAGAUCGUGCCACUGCACUCCAGCCUGGGUGACAGAGCAAGACUCCAUCUCAA